AUUGAACGCUGGCGGCAGGCCUAACACAUGCAAGUCGAACGAGUGGCGGACGGGUGAGUAAUGUCUGGGAAACUGCCCGAUGGAGGGGGAUAACUACUGGAAACGGUAGCUAAUACCGCAUACCAUCGGAUGUGCCCAGAUGGGAUUAGCUUGUAGGUGAGGUAACGGCUCACCUAGGCGACGAUCCCUAGCUGGUCUGAGAGGAUGACCAGCAACACUGGAAAUGAGACACGGGCCAGAUUCCUACGGGAGGCAGCAGGGGGGAUGAGGGCACAAUGGGCGAAAGCCGGAUGCAGCCAUGCCGCGUGUAUGAAGAAGGCCUUCGGGUUGUAAAGUACUUUAAGCGGGUAGGAGUUAACCGAAGAAGAAGCACCGGCUAACUCCGUGCCAGCAGCCGCGGUAAUUC
rnacentral:rRNA from 1 species